AUUUAUAUAGUAUAUAAAUUACAUUUAACUUCCAAUUAAAAAAAUUAAUUAUAAUAUUAAUAUAAAUA
rnacentral:tRNA from 1 species